rnacentral:rRNA from 1 species
CAGAGGGGGCAAGCGUUAUUCGGAAUUAUUGGGCGUAAAGGGCGCGUAGGCGGCUUUUCAAGUGACGGGUGAAAUCCCUCGGCUUAACCGAGGAACUGCCUGUCAGACUGAAUAGCUUGAGACCGGGAGAGGUGAGUGGAAUUCCCAGUGUAGCGGUGAAAUGCGUAGAUAUUGGGAGGAACACCAGUGGCGAAGGCGCCUCACUGGACCGGUACUGACGCUGAGGCGCGAAAGCGUGGGGAGCAAACAGGAUUAGAUACCCUGGUAGUCCACGCCGUAAACGAUGAGUGCUUGGUGUAGCGGGUAUCGACCCCUGCUGUGCCGAAGUCAACACAUUAAGCACUCCGCCUGGGGAGUACGGUCGCAAGACUG